rnacentral:rRNA from 1 species
CGGGGGGGGGUGCCAUAUACAUGCAAGUCGAGCGAACAGAUAAGGAGCUUGCUCCUUUGACGUUAGCGGCGGACGGGUGAGAAACACGUGGGUAACCUACCUAUAAAACGGGAAUAACUCCGGGAAACCGGGGCUAAGGCCGAAUAACAUAUAAAACCGCAUGGUUUUAUAUUGAAAGAUGGUUUUGCUAUCACUUAUAGAUGGACCCGCGCCGUAUUACCUAGUUGGUAAGGUAAGGGCUUACCAAGGCGACAAUACGUACCCAACCUGAAAGGGUGAUCGGCCACACUGGAACUGAAACACGGUCCAAACUCCUACGGGAGGCAGCAGUAGGGAAUCUUCCGCAAGGGGCAAAAGCCUGACGGACCAACGCCGCGUGAGUGAUGAAGGGUUUCGCCUCGAAAAACUCUGUUAUUAGGGAAAAACAUAUGUGUAAUUAACGGUGCACUUCUUGACGGUACCUAAUCAAAAAGCCCCGGCAAACUACUUGCCACCACCCCCGGUAAUACGUAGGUGGCAGGCGUUAUCGGAAAUUAUUGGGGGUAAAGCGCGCGUAGGCGGUUUCUUAAUUCUGAGGUGAAAGCCCACGGCUCACCCGUGAAGGGUCAUUGAAAACUGGGAAACUUGAUUGCAAAAAAGAAAGGGGGAAUUCCAUGUGUAGCGUUGAAAUGCGCAAAAAUAUGGAGGAACACCAGGGGCGAAGGGCAAUUUUUCUGUUCUGUAACUGACCGCUGAUGUGCGAAACCGUGGGGGAUCAAAC